rnacentral:rRNA from 1 species
CCUACGGGAGGCAGCAGUGGGGGAUAUUGCACAAUGGGGGGAACCCUGAUGCAGCGACGCCGCGUGGGUGAAGAAGGGCCUCGGCGCGUAAAGCCCUGUCAGCAGGGAAGAAAAUGACGGUACCGGAAGAAGAAGCCCCGGCGAACUACGGGCCAGCAGCCGCGGGAAUACGGAGGGGGCAAGCGUUAUCCGGAUUUACUGGGUGUAAAGGGGGCGCAGCCGGCGAUGCAAGCCAGGAGUGAAAGCCCGGGGCCCAACCCCGGGACUGCUCUUGGAACUGCGGGGCUGGAGUGCAGGAGGGGCAGGCGGAAUUCCUGUUGUAGCGGUGAAAUGCGUAGAUAUCAGGAGGCACACCGGUGGCGACGGCGGCCUGCUGGACUGCAACUGCCGUUGAGGCCCGAAAGCGUGGGGAGCAAACAGGAUUAGCUACCCUGGUAGUC